GGCGCGUCAGCUCAAUGGUAGAGCGCCGGGUUGUCGAUUCGGAAGAUGCGCGUUCGAGCCGCGUCCGCGCCGCCA
rnacentral:tRNA from 1 species